CGCCUUGCCAGCCCGCUCAGAACUCAAAGGAAGUUGACGGGGCCCGCACAAGCGGUGGAGUAUGUGGUUAAUUCGAUGCAACGCGAAGAACCUUACCUGGUCUUGACAUCCCGGAGACCCUUAGGAAACUAGGGGGUGCUUCCAUCUGGAAGAAUCUGGAGACAGGUGCUGCAUGGCUGUCGUCAGCUCGUGUCGUGAGAUGUUGGGUUAAGUCCCGCAACGAGCGCAACCCUUGCCUUUAGUUGCCAGCAGUUCGGCUGGGCACUCUAAAGGGACUGCCGGUGUUAAACCGGAGGAAGGUGGGGAUGACGUCAAGUCCUCAUGGCCUUUAUGACCAGGGCUACACACGUACUACAAUGGCCGAUACAAAGGGCAGCGACACUGCGAGGUGAAGCCAAUCCCGUAAAAUCGGUCUCAGUCCGGAUUGGAGUCUGCAACUCGACUCCAUGAAGUUGGAAUCGCUAGUAAUCGUGGAUCAGCAUGCCACGGUGAAUACGUUCCCGGGCCUU
rnacentral:rRNA from 1 species